rnacentral:rRNA from 1 species
UACGAAGGGGGCUAGCGUUGCUCGGAAUGACUGGGCGUAAAGGGCGCGUAGGCGGAUGGCACAGUCAGAUGUGAAAUUCCCGGGCUUAACCUGGGGGCUGCAUUUGAUACGUGUUGUCUUGAGUUCGGAAGAGGGUCGUGGAAUUCCCAGUGUAGAGGUGAAAUUCGUAGAUAUUGGGAAGAACACCGGUGGCGAAGGCGGCGACCUGGUCCACAACUGACGCUGAGGCGCGAAAGCUAGGGGAGCAAACAGG